CAAGGUGCCGCUCUGCCUGAGAGCCUUGAGAUAUGCCAAUGCCAGCUAAGGCGGGCAACAGAGCUUCAGACCGAACAGUGCCCUGCCCUAUCACUGGGGUCUUAGCCUUCGCUUCAGCCCCCUGGACAGCAGCCCUUCGGAUAUGAACCAUCUUGAUAGGACCUUGGAGACCCAGGUGUGGAAGGCUUCUUGCCUGUUCUCUGGCACUCUUGGAAGAUGGAGGAUCUCUAUGAGGAACCCUAAGGACCUGGUGCAGCGGGCGCUUGCUCCGUGUGGGGAAUGGGAACCAGAGUCCUACUCCAUCACCACAGCGACACCCACCGGACUACCUCUUGGGCCAUUCAUCAGCUUUUAAUUAAUAAUUUGGUGAGGGUGGUGCAGCAAGGAUGCUGGGCUGGACUGCUGUUGGUGUGAGUGGGCCAGGUGGGUGACCCUCUACCUUAUGGUGCUCCUCACCUUUGAUACCAGACCUUCGGCUGACAGGUGGCUUGGGGGUGUGUUCACCCUGGCACUGUCUCUGGGAGACACUUGACCCACCAUCUCACUACUAAGGAAAAGGCACCCAGAGGCAGAGUGACUUGGCCAGGCACACUCAGCAUUCAAGAACAGGGACCUGGGGCUGGAGCCCUGUGCAGAUGCCAUCCCCAGGUUACAGCUCCAGACCUAGCCCUUCAAGGACUUUUCUGAGGAGGCAGGGCAAUGUACUCCAGUGUGACAAGGCAGGAGCCUUGGGGUCUAAGAAGCAGGUGGGUACCAGAAGCCAGGAAACAGCAGUGGCUCUAUUGAGGGGUUGAGUAGGGGUCAAGGUUCCCCAGACUGACUGAGCUGCCUGGUAUGUAGGAACCAUGACGACAUAGGCCUCUCUCCUCAGGUUGGCCAUGGCCAGAUCACAGUAGGCCGCUCCAGCCCUGGCAGUCCGCCAUUCCUGGUUACCACAUGAGCAGGAAUGGGGAUAGCUGGAGUCCUGGGUGACACAGAGGCUGGUUUAGGUUGCCUGCCCCUGAAAACCACCCUCUGCCAGCUGCUGGACGGGGGUAGGGAUGCUGGGAAGGGGCACAGAAACUACAGAGAAAUAUGAAAAUCUAUUUGGAUCUGACUUGAAUUAUUAAGAGGUUCAAGAGUAUUCUUAGCUCUAGAGAGCUGUGGUCUGCUGAGAUGGACAUCACCGUGGCCCUAUUUUUAAGGUUCUGCGGGAAGGAGCUGAGACGCCACUGCACUUAGGGUCCCCUGUCCUUAAGCACUGGUGUCUGGAUGCCCCACCCCACUCCUGCCCACAUUCCAUGUUCUAUCCACCCUGUUCCUUCAAUUCGCAUCCCCCUGGCCCUUGCACCCUAUGAACCUACCCA